UGCCAGCAGCCGCGGUAAUACGGAGAGGGCAAGCGUUGUUCGGAAUCACUGGGCAUUAAGCGCACGUUGGCGGAUUGGAAAGUCAGUUGUGAAAGCCCGGGGCUCAACCCCGGAAUUGCUUCUGAAACUUCCAGUCUUGAGGGUGAGAGGGGAGAGUGGAACUUCUGGUGGAGCGGUGAAAUGCGUAGAGAUCAGAAGGAACACCGGUGGCGAAAGCGACUCUCUGGCUCAUUUCUGACGCUGAGGUGCGAAAGCUUGGGUAGCGAACGGGAUUAGAUA
rnacentral:rRNA from 1 species